UCAAGAGAACAAGAGCAUUAGGCGGAUGCCUUGGCACCGAGAGCCGAAGAAGGACGUGAUAAGCUGCGAAAAGCCGCGCCGAGGAGCACAUAUCCGAAGACACGCGGAUGUCCGAAUGGGGAAACCCACCUGAUAGAAGAUCAGGUACCUGGUGAUGAAAAAGACUUGUCUUAUAGUCAUCAGGGGGGAACCCGGGGAACUGAAACAUCUAAGUACCCGGAGGAAAAGAAAGCAAACGCGAUAUCCCAAGUAGCGGCGAGCGAACGGGACAUAGCCCAGUAUGGAAACUUUCGUCAUUUUAGGGGAAGGGCAUGGGAAGGCCCGGCAAAGAGCGUUAAACCCGCGUAGCCGAAAAGAUGACGAAAGGGAAUACGACGAGUACCACGGGACACGUGAAACCCUGUGGGAAUAUGGGGGGCCCACCCUCCAAGGCUAAACACUACUCGGUGACCGAUAGCGGAAAGUACCGUGAGGGAAAGGUGAAAAGAACCCCGGGAGGGGAGUGAAAGAGAAACUGAAACCUAAUGCUUACAAGCAGCGGGAGCGCAAGUGACCGUGUGCUUUUUGUAGAACGGGCCAACGAGUUACGGUAUGCAGCGAGGUUAAGCACUUCAGGUGCGGAGCCGAAGGGAAACCGAGUCUGAAUAGGGCGUAAGUUGUAUGCUGUAGACCCGAAACCGCGUGAUCUAUCCAUGGCCAGGGUGAAGCACGGGUAAAGCCGUGUGGAGGCCCGAACCAGUGUCUGUUGAAAAAGGCUUGGAUGAGCUGUGGAUAGGGGUGAAAUUCCAAUCGAACGCGGAGAUAGCUGGUUCUCCCCGAAAUAGCUUUAGGGCUAGCGUUAAGGAAAGACUACCGGAGGUAGAGCACUGAAUUGGGUAGAGGGCGGAAAGCUUAUCGAACCAUAUCAAACUCCGAAUGCCGGCUAGUUAUACUUGGCAGUCAGACAGUGGGAGAUAAGUUUCAUUGUCGAAAGGGAAACAGCCCGGACCAACCGCUAAGGUCCCCAAGUACCGAUUAAGUGGGAAAGGAUGUGUCACUGCACAAACAACCAGGAUGUUGGCUUAGAAGCAGCCAUACAUUUAAAGAGUGCGUAAUAGCUCACUGGUCGAGUGGUGGUGCGCCGAAAAUAAACGGGGCUAAAAUCGGACACCGAAGCGAUGGAUUGUAUAGCAAUAUACAGUGGUAGGGGAGCAAUCUCUUUUGGGCGAAGCGCGAUUGAAAGAGAGCGUGGACGAAAGAGAAGAGAGAAUGUUGGCAUGAGUAGCGAAAGUGCAGUGAGAAUCUGCACCAUCGGAAGCCCAAGGUUUCCUGAGGAAGGCUCGUCCGCUCAGGGUAAGUCGGGGCCUAAGCCGAGGCCGGAAGGCGUAGGUGAUGGACAACCGGUUGAAAUUCCGGUACUACUGUCUUAUAUUAAGAGAGGGAGUGACACAGGAGGGAAAGCAGACCCGGGCGUUGGUUGACCCGGGCCAAUCGGCAAGGCUGACGCGGAAGGCAAAUCCGCCGCGUCAAAAGGCUGAGCCGUGACGGGGAACGAAAAAUAAGUAGGGAAGCUGCGGACUCACACUGUCAGGAAAAACUUCUAUCGCAUAAGAAAGUACCCGUACCGUAAACCGACACAGGUAGGCAGGGAGAGAAUCCUAAGAUGAGCGGGAGAAGUGUUGUUAAGGAACUCGGCAAAAAUACUCCGUAACUUCGGGAGAAGGAGUGCCUCGAAAGAGGCCGCAGUGAAGAGGCUCAAGCGACUGUUUAGCAAAAACACAGGUCUCUGCUAAAUCGAAAGAUGACGUAUAGGGGCUGACGCCUGCCCGGUGCCGGAAGGUUAAGGGGAGGGCUUAGCGCAAGCGAAGGUCUGAACUUAAGCCCCGGUAAACGGCGGCCGUAACUAUAACGGUCCUAAGGUAGCGAAAUUCCUUGUCAGGUAAGUUCUGACCCGCACGAAAGGCGU
rnacentral:rRNA from 1 species